rnacentral:rRNA from 1 species
CCUACGGGGCGCAGCAGUGGGGAAUAUUGGACAAUGGGCGAAAGCCUGAUCCAGCCAUGCCGCGUGUGUGAAGAAGGCCUUCGGGUUGUAAAGCACUUUCAGUGGGGAAGAAAGCCUUGGGGCUAAUACCCUCGAGGAAGGACAUCACCCACAGAAGAAGCACCGGCUAACUCCGUGCCAGCAGCCGCGGUAAUACGGAGGGUGCGAGCGUUAAUCGGAAUUACUGGGCGUAAAGCGCGCGUAGGCGGUCUGAUAAGCCGGUUGUGAAAGCCCCGGGCUCAACCUGGGAACGGCAUCCGGAACUGUCAGGCUAGAGUGCAGGAGAGGAAGGUAGAAUUCCCGGUGUAGCAGUGAAAUGCGUAGAGAUCGGGAGGAAUACCAGUGGCGAAGGCGGCCUUCUGGACUGACACUGACGCUGAGGUGCGAAAGCGUGGGUAGCAAACAGGAUUAGAUACCCCUGUAGUC